GUAGGGAAUAUUGGGCAAUGGAUGCAAGUCUGACCCAGCCAUCCCGCGUGCCGGAAGAAGGCCCUCAGGGUUGUAAACGGCUUUUGACGGUGAAGAACCGACAGGAUGCGUCCUGUUUUGACGGUAGCCGUUGAAUAAGAACCGGCUAACUCUGUGCCAUCAGCCGCGGUAAUACGGAGGGUGCGAGCGUUGUCCGGAUUUAUCGGGUUUAAAGGGCGCGUAGGCUGGUAGGUCAGUCAGCGGUGAAAAGCUGUCGCUUAACGAAAGUCUUGCCGCAGAUACUUGCAUUGUGGGAUGAAGAGGAGGCCACUGGAACGAAUGGUGUAGCGGUGAAAUGCAUAGAUAUCAUCCAGAACACCGAUUACGAAGGCAGGUGGCAGUACCUUAAUCGACGCUGAUGCACAAAAGCAUGGGGAGCAAACAGGAUUAGAAACCCGGGUAGUCC
rnacentral:rRNA from 1 species